UGAACCCGGGGUCAAAAUACCAUGCGGUAAAAUGACCACGGGGUCAUUAUACCGCAUGGUAUUUUGACCCCGGGGUCAUUUUUCACAUAU
rnacentral:sRNA from 1 species